UGAUACUCAUUUCAGCAAGCAA
rnacentral:miRNA from 1 species